UUGAAGUUUUCCCUGACGCAAGGUUGGUCAAGGUUGUCACGGUGCAAAAGUAAGGUACCGAGAGCGUUCUUGCAGCUUGAUCAGGCCUCUAGUAACUUGGAUUUGUCGACAACACAAGCAAUUUAGGCUUGUGAUGGUUUGACUGACAGCUAGCUGUUCAUCAUGCGAGUGCGACCCCAGACUGUGAAGCGACUUGUGUAUGCUGGUGUCGCUGCUGGUGGUGGGGUGUUCGUUGCGACAGUCGUCUACCCUAGACUUUCCACAAGGAAGAGCGAGUUGGGUCGGGUGUUGGCAGCAGAUGUCCAGCAGCAGUACAGCAAUGCUCCUCUGCCGCUACGGGAGGA